GGUGAAGAUCCUGCCCAGGAUGUUCCAGGUCACCCGCUUCACAUCCUGGCCUCCAAUGGUGCCCAAAGAAGAAAUCUAAAAGGCGUAGACAUCUCUUUAAACAAACAGUGGAGGAGGGGUAUGGCCAUGAAACCAUCCCUGUACGGCAAGGCCACACAUUUCUGUCGCAGCGCUGACACCUCAACCAACUUCAGCUCAUCAGAUGGAUCAUUUACAGAAAAUAUGUUCAUUCUGUCAGAGUUGAAGGGGUAGGUAUAGAAAGGAGACUGCCGGGAAUAUUCUGUGUAAAUAGCGUACACACCAUUAUCAUUUUUGACUUUAUCCCCCACCAGAAACACAUUGUCCCCUAUUGAUAAUUUGACGGUCCACCUUUCACAUUGCUUUUCCCCAUAUUGUGCAUGACCUUCCAUGCCAACAACAAUUGGACCCACCAAAUCCUCCCUUUUCAGUGACAUGUGUGUAUCAGCAUCUGAUUUGGGAGCUGUAACCUCCGAAAGGCGCCGAAUGAGCUGAGGUAGAGGGAACUCAGGUUUUCCAAUUAGUUUUUUUAUUUUCCCAAGGUGAUUCUCAUAUGGUAACGCUGAAAAGGAAUCCAGACAGCCAUGCCGCUUCACCUCGUCUGCCAAGUGGACCGGACAGUGGACAUUGUACACAAUCUGGUCCGUCCCAUAAAGCACACCAAAAUGGUUGACAAAAGAUUUUAGCAUUUGUCCAGCAUAGUCAGCAAGGUUGAGAUGUUCAGGGCUUACCAACAUGGAUACAGCAGUUAACAGGAGCAUGAAAUUACAGUACAUGUUCCGGUCUAGGAAUCCUGCCAGCACCACAGGGCCAGUGUACAGUAAGAACUGUCGGAAUUCAGUUGCCUUCCAACGGUCCAACUCCCUAAGCGACCGUGGUCUUCUGGCAAACUCAAUUGGCACGUAGGGACUCAUGGAUUGGAGUUUGCCUGACAUCCUGUCCGCUAUUAAAUCCGGCAGUCUUACGGUUAACGGACCUCGGAGCCAAGUUAGGAGCAGUUUCCUUACAAUGCCCAAACACACUAGAUGCAUAUAAUCUAAGGGAAACUGAUUUACCAUGCCAACCUUGACGUGUUGAAAUGGAUGUGGCCCUUCAUGGUGAUGUAAUUCAUCAACCUUCAGGUUAAACGAGAUGUCAGUUGUGAGGGGGUGCUCUGGUCCAGGGAACGACAUACGCCGGUUGUGGUAUUUCCCUGGGGGUAGGAACUUAUCGCAACCAUGGUAAGCAUUGUGGGCUUUAGUAUUUUUCAAAAAGGCCCGUGCAGGGGUACCACAGAUUACUGUGUGAAGCUCAAAUCUAAGAUUCUUAUCUUCAAAGCAAAAUCCAGCCUAUAGCUCAUGUAGUUCUGGGACAAAAUCAGAUAGGAACUCUGUGGCCAUCUUGGUUUUUUUGGUCUACAGUACGCCCCAAUGACAACGGGUUCCUUCAUGGGGACGGUAACUAGUAGGCCAAGGAUGGGCCACUGCUGUACAGUGGAACUUUUAAAUAAAGGAAGUCCAUCUAUAUUAAUCUGCAGCCCCAAUGUCAUGCCCUCUGCCAAUGUUUUGGCAUAUUUACUUCGAGUGGCCUUCAAGGAGGAAAGGAUGCCAAAGUGAUGGUAGUUCCCCCCAGCCUUCUGCCGAAUAGAAUAUUGGACUUUUGUUUUGAGAAGGGUCCUUCCAUCCUUUGGCAGAUUGGGAUGGGUUAGAUGGAGUAUACUCAACAGGGCAGUUAGAGCAACCAUGGAAAUGCCAAAACUCACUGCCCAGUUGGCAAUGUUAUCGGAAAGUGAUGUUGGGUUAUCAUCAUUUUCAGAAUCCGAACCUGAUGUUCCCUCCUCAUCACACCCAUCCCAAUACACGUCAUCAAAAUCUGCCUCCAAUUCCAUGACCUCCUCUGUAAAAACGUGCACCUCGGGCAUUGCAUGUGCAGCUGAAGAGGAUUGGGCAGUGUUCUCAGAAAGAACUCUGUCAUCUGCCUCUAUUCCUGUCAUGUCUGUAAUGUCUGUAAUGUCUCUCUGAAUCUGAAGAAGCCUUUUUUGAACGUCUAUGCGUGUCCUUUGUCUUAAGGCUGAUAAAGACACAGGCAUAGUCUUUCUUUUCAUGUUUGCGCUACAAGACAAGAAAAUACAGUACAUUUUAUCAUGGAUUAUUGUUUCUAAAGUUAUAUUUAAAUAAAUACAUUGUUAAAUGUUGGUGUUGCCUGUUUCAUUGCUACAAACUAGAGGAGAUAUAGGGCAACGUUAAAUUGAUUCAGCCCCAUGAAUAUGCCAAGAGCUGCUAGAAAAAUGUGUAAGCAACAUUACAUUUUAACAAACCAGAAAGUCACUUACUUGAUUAAGCGAACACAGCAGAAGCAAUUGUAGGCAAAAAUCCAGGCAACAGAGGAUGCUGCAAAACACACAAAAUAGAAGAUGGGACCAAGUUCCAUACAGUAGCAUAAGAAAUUAUGAACGGGCGCAAAAUACAUUAGUUGCCUGAACCGACGUAAACAGUGAUUAAAAUGAUUGAUUUCCUAUUCAUUCAUUUUAAUUAUAAAGAUUGCAGACAGACAUUUUACUUUAUACAUUAUAUGUGAAACAGUCAUUGUUCUGCAUUGUGUCCUUUACAGCAGUAGUUCUCAAAUGGGGGUACGCGUACCCCGGGGGGUACUUGAAGGAAUGACAAGGGGUACGUAAGAUUUUUGAAAAAAAUGUUCUAAAAAUAGCAACAAUUCAAAAUUCCUUCAUAAAUAUAUUUAUUGAAUAAUACUUCAACAAAAUAUGAAUUUAAGUUCAUAAACUGUGAAAAUAAAUGCAACAAUGCAAUAUUCAGGGUUGACAGCUAGAUUUUUUCGUGGACAUGUUCCAUAAAUAUUGAUGUUAAAGAUUUCUUUUUUUGUGAAGAAAUGUUUAGAAUUAAGUUCAUAAAUCCAGAUAGAUCUCUAUUACAAUCCCCAAAGAGGGCACUUUAAGUCGAUGAUUACUUCUAUGUGUAGAAAUCUUUAUUUAUAAUGGAAUCACUUGUUUAUUUUUCAACAAGUUUUUAGUUAUUUGUAUAACUUUUUUUCCAAAUAGUUCAAGAAAGACCACUACAAAUGAGCAAUAUUUUCCUCUGUUAUACAAUUUAUAAAUCAGAAACUGAAGACAGUGCUGUAUUUUACUUCUUUAUCUUUUUUUCAACCUAAAAUGCUUUUCUCUGAUUAUGGGGUACUUGAAUUAAAAAAAUGUUUGCAGGGGGUUCAUCACUGAAAAAAGGUUGAGAACCACUGCUUUAUAGUGAUGCACACACAGGAGUUGAGCCGUGGAGGAUUUAUUCACCUUUUUUUUUUUUUAAUGGAAACAAAAACAGGGCGUCACACAGUCCAUUGUAAACAAGAUCUCUCCACAGCUCCGAGCGUCAUCAGUGCUCACUCAACUCAAUUAUUUAUGCUUACAUGUGGAAAUAAUAAUAAUACAUAAAAUAAUAAUAACAAAAGGUAAAUAAGCAUAAAAUAAUCUCUAUUAAUUAAAUUAAAAAAGACUAUAUACAAUAUAUAUUCAUCAGCAAAUAAAGACAAGAAAAUACAGUAAAUUUUAUCAUUGAUUAGUGUUUCAAAAAGUUAUAUUUAAAUAAAUACAUUGUUAAAUGGUGAUGUCUGUUUCAUUGCUACAAACUAGAGGAUAUAUAGGGCAACGUUAAAUUGAUUCAGCCCCAUGAAUAUGUUGUCUGAACCGACGUAAACAGUGAUUAAAAUAGUUGAUUUCUAAUUCAUUCAUUUUAAUUAUAAAGAUUGCAGAUAGAAACUACUUAAUACAUUACAUACGUAACAGUCACUGUUCUGUUCUGUCACCGUUUUCCCACUCACAUCAACUCAUUUUGUAUUUUUUCUACAAUUAACUAUGCCAAAAAAAUCAUAACAGACAUACCUUUUUUUUAAUGGAUACAAAAACAACAGGGAGGAUGUCACACACAGCCACAGCAAACAGGAUCUAAUCCAUUUUAAAUAAAAUAGCCUUUUUUUUACAGAAUAUAAAGUUUUACUGCCAGUCCUAUCAAACAACGUCAUUACAAUCAUAUAUAAGUGAUGAUGGAAACACAAAGGCCGGUCAUUACUGUGAAUGUAGCAAUAAGUCAAUAAAUCUAUACUUACGUCGUGUUCCAGCAGAGAAAGUCCAGAAAUGAUCGAUCUUGGCUCAUGCGCGUAGCUUGACCUAGCUAGUUCAUGCACCUAGGUGCCUCCGCGUAGGCAGAUCCGACACGGGGUCAGCUCAGGAUCCGCUGUCUGACCGUACAAUUUUUAGAGGCGAAUCGGAUUCUCUAGGCGGAGCCAAAACGAAUGUGACAGUAACGAAAGGGUUGGGCGACUUGAAGGCGGAUCCGUAUAGGAGUCUCCUGCUGUCUGUGCUAUUUCAUUAACACUUCUGUUCAAAUGUAAUCAGCAUUCAUUGUUCCGCUGUUGCAAUACUUUUCAUUUAUUUUAGCGAUACUACAAAUUUGUGUACCGAUCCCAUACAAAGUAGUUACAGUGUCAGUACUGGUCACACCAAUGCUGAUACAUGAAAUGUUCAAGAUGAUUAAAUUGUUUAUCACAAAUAUCUAUCUGUGUUGGCCCUGCGAUGAGGUACAAAACGGGUAAGAUUAUAUAGGCGUCACUUCCUCACUCAUUUUCAGACAUGUAUAAAAACUAAUUAUAUAUAUUUAUAUAUAUAUAUAUAUGAGUUGGGAAAUUGUGUUAGAUGUAAAUAUAAACGGAAUACAAUAAUUUGCAAAUAUUUUUCGACCGAUAUUCAAUUGAAUGCACUACAAAGACAAGAUAUUUGAUGUUCAAACUCAUAAACUUUAUUUUUUUUUUUUGCAAAUAAUAAUUAACUUAGAAUUUCAUGGCUGCAACACGUGCCAAAGUAGUUGGGAAAGGGCAUGUUCACCACUGUGUUACAUCACCUUUUCUUUUAACAACACUCAAUUAACGUUUGGGAACUGAGGAAACUAAUUGUUGAAGCUUUGAAAGUGGAAUUCUUUCCCAUUCUUGUUUUAUGUAGAGCUUCAGUCGUUCAACAGUCCGGGGUCUGUGCUGUCGUAUUUUACGCUUCAUAAUGCGCCACACAUUUUCGAUGGGAGACAGGUCUGGACUGCAGGCGGGACAGGAAAGUACCUGCACUCUUUUUUUACGAAGCCAAGCUGUUGUAACACGUGCUGAAUGUGACUUGGCAUUUUCUUGCUGAAAUAAGCAGGGGCGUCCAUGAAAAAGACGGCACUUAGAUGGCAGCAUAUGUUGCUGCAAAAUCCUUUAUGUACCUUUCAGCAUUAAUGGUGCCUUCACAGAUGUGUAAGUUACCCAUGCCUUGGGCACUAUUGCACCCCCAUUCCCUCACAGAUGCUGGCUUUUGAACUUUGCAUUGAUAACAGUCUGGAUGGUUUGCUUCCCCUAUGGUCCGGAUGACACAAUGUCGAAUAUUUCCAAAAACAAUUUGAAAUGUGGACUUGUCAGACCACAGAACACCAUGCCGCUUACGUGGAGUGAUUUCUCCAGGUUCUGCUCAAGCAACCAGAUCAAGACCGUAUUAAAAAAAAAAAUCAACAACAGAAGGAGAUAAUGUGAAGGACAUACACCAUUUGAUUUCCUGUUAAGCAG